UACGAAGGGGGCUAGCGUUGCUCGGAUUGACUGGGCGUAAAGGGCGCGUAGGCGGUUCGUACGGUCAGACGUGAAAUUCCUGGGCUCAACCUGGGAAUGGCAUUUGGGACUGCAAGGCUGGAGUGCGGCAGAGGAGACUGGAAUUCCUGGUGUAGCAGUGAAAUGCGUAGAUAUCAGGAGGAACACCGAUGGCGAAGGCAGGUCUCUGGGCUGACACUGACGCUCAUGCACGAAAGCGUGGGGAGCAAACAGG
rnacentral:rRNA from 1 species